CAAUUUAGGGAUAGAGAUAUUGUUCAGUGGUGAUGAUAAGAUAUACUAGUAUAUUAUAACUCUUUUUAACUAGCCAAUAACUUACAUUUAGGGAUUAUGUACACAUCUAGAUUGGAUUAGUUUAUUUUUCAGGCUCUGUUCUAAGUGAAUAAUUUAAAUAAUAGAGGACCAUUCAGCAUAAUUACUAUCCAUAACAGUUCUUCAAUAUCUUAAUUCAUGUGCCAUUCUUGUCUAUGAAUUUUAGUUUUGCAUAUGUUUUUUUUUUUUUGCCCAAAGAGCUGAAAAGCUCAGGCUUUAGAGUUAGACACACCUAGCUUUUGGGAACAGCUGUGCAACUUUGGCAGCAUGGUAACCUUGGGCAAGUUCGAUCUUCUCUGCCUCUCAGUGUCCUCAUCUGUCUUAAAACUAUACCUCUUCCUCCCCUCACAGGAUAAUUGUAUAAAUUAUUUUGUACUGUAUUUGGUACACAAUUGACACCUAGUAAAUGGUAAGAGUCAUAAUUAGGCUUUUAUAUUUUAAACUGUCAAAUCUUUGACACAUUGUGGGCCAGUGGUUCUUUCAACACAGUAAUAAAAUGAAGAGGGAUGCAGCAGCACACUUUGAUUUAAAGUGAUGGGAAGAUAAUGUGUAAUUAAAAUAGACAAUAAUGAAGAGAGAAACUUGGUAGUUCUCUGAUUAGGCUGGGCCUGAUGUAAAUAAGUGCCACACUUAUUUUACCAGCUUGGUACAGAUUCUAAAGCUCGAUGAAGUGGGAAUAAUUAUGAAAUACAGGGGUUAGUUUGACUGAGCAAUCCCACUCUAGGGCAUAUGACCGGAUAAAACUUUCCUUAAAAAAGACACCUGCAUGCUCAUGUUCAUUGCAGCACUAUUCACAAUAGCCAAGACAAUUUUUUUCCUACUAUACAGCAUUGUGACCCAGUUACACAUAUAUAUAUGCAUUCUUCUUUCUCCCAUUAUCAUGUCUGGUCACUUAUGAUGGAGCAUGAUAAUUAUUAGGAGUUUCGAAUUUUUCUUUUCUUUGCUGGAGAAAUCAAGAGACUUUUAACACCUUGCUAAAUACUCUGUAAACUCAGCUUCCAAUGGGGUUUUAGGAGAGUAGAAAUGAUUUUUCUUUUUAUUAGUUCUUUGAAUAUGUUUCCAGUAAAAAAUAUUAUUAAUAAAAUAAAUAUCGUACGUGCAUAUAGGUAUAUGUGUACUUCUAACAGCCUCCUACCAGAAUUCCAAAGAGUAUAUCUUGGCAACUAUGGUAGAUAGCAUGUGAUUAUACUUUUACUAAAGCAAAAAAUUUGACUAAAUCUCAUUUGAGAGAGUACAUUACAGUAAAAUUUCUCUUAAAACUACUUGUUUGACAGAAUAAAUAUUUUUUUAAAAUUUCUGUUGAUAGUGAAAUAAAUUAAAUAGGAAGGAAUUUGAAAAUAAAGGUAAACAUUCUAGAAAACAACCAUGUUUUUUCUUUAGUGAAUAUAAUUUUCAUUGAAGGUAGAUAUUCCUAUUACCUGAAUGAUAGUCACAUCUCCAUAUAUCAGAACUUUAAUGUUUACUUCUCCAUCAUAUCUUUUGAGUCCCUUCUCUUUUAUGAAACUGAAAUAAAAAUAACCUGUAGGACUCUUUCCUUCUUAAAUCAAUAUAUUUGUAAAUAGCCAUUUUCUUAUUAAUAGCACAUUCACUUUUAAAGUAAAAUUUUAUUAAUUUCUGACUAUAUAAAGAAAUAAAUAUCAUUAAGAAAAAUAUACUGAAGGAAAGGAAAAUCACUAAUUACCUCAUUGUGUAAAAUAUUAACAAUGCUCAUUGAUACCCUAUAAUUACUGUACUCAAAAUUAUGUGUUAAUGAAUCAAUAUGUUUUGCAUGUUUUCUUUCAGGAGUUUCUCAAUAGGAGAUAAUAAUAACAGUAAUAAUAAUAAUGUUAAAUUGGAAUCAAGGCAAAUAGAUGUCUUUGAAUUCUUCUUUUGGGUCUUAUUUUUUUUUGCUUAAUUUAGUUUCAAGUAUGUUUCUAACAACUAAAAAUUUAUCAAAAAUAUAAUUUAAUUACCAAAAAUUAUUCCCAGCAAUGAUUUUUGACAAAACUUAUUUACUCAUACUCUUAUUUUCAGGCAUUCAAUUCUAAUAUUUCCUUUUUUUAGAAUAUAUAAUGUCACAGUGAAAACCUUUAAAUAUAAGUGAUUAUCUGCACCUUAGGUCUGUUUAGUUUCCAACUCCUAGUGUUUGAAAAAACCACAUUUAAUAAUUUUCUAUGAACCUAAGUAAAGUACAAGAAAUUGAGUAUAUCCUUUAACAAUCAACCUAGUCAAAAUUAUAAGAAUGAUUUCCUCUUAUAAGCAGUCAUAGAUUUCAAUCAUGUCCUAGUUACAAAACAAAGGAAUGGUAGUUAAGGCUUAUGUAAUACAUUCUAAAAAUCAUUUUAAUUCUCAUAAUAUAAAGGAUAUAUUUAAAAAUAGUCAUGAAGGACAGAUUAAUAGAUAUUUUAUUUUAUUCCCCAGUCAGUAUGGUUACAUUUUAACACCUGCUGUUCACAAAGUUCAAUAGAUAGUUAAUAUAUAGCAAGAAUUCCAAAUGAGUUUUGAGAAAUCUGUUUUGAGGGGAUUAGAGAAAAGUUCACAUCUGACUUACUAAUGAGUUGAUUUUAGUUAAUGUGAAAUUCUGGUUGAAUGUAAAUUAAUUUAUCACCUACUCUAUGAGUUGCAAACAAAUUCUUCUCCUUUUUGUUCUGUAAUUUGUCUAUGUAAUAUUGAAACUAUUCAAUGAUUUAGCAGAAAAUAGGCAUAUUUAAUCACUUUAAUUUCUCCAGCCAAAAUUAUUGCAGUCAAUUAACUCAAUCAACAAUUUUAUCCUCCAAUAUGCCAUGCACUUUGGGCCACUUGACUGCUCCUGGAAUUUUAUGGACAAUCUACUAAGACAAAUAAAGGAUUUAAAAGUGCACAUCACAAUUCUAAUGUGAAAUUUUGCAUAUUAUAAAUUUUCUAAUCAAAAUAUUCAGUUAUCAGGAACAUAAAGUAGAAGGUAAAAGCAAUUUAAAGUCAGACCCAAAGUCAUCCUCUUAUCUUUUUACAUUACAUAUAAUGUAAAAGCAAGGUAGUUUUAUUUAAUAUGAAACAUUUUUAUAAAACAAAGUAAUUAUUUCAUUCUAUUACAUUACUUUUCAAGGAAUUCAAUCUAAUGCAAUUCUAUUAAGUGUAUUGCUUACACAUAAUGUAUUUUAAGAUUACAAGGUAGACUAAUACAUUGUAAUUAUAAGUCAGAGUACCUUAGAGUUAAUGUAUUUCUGUGGCUUUUGGAGAUAUACUUCUAUAUUCAUUAGUUAUAAAAGUAAAAAAGAUGGCAGAGUGCAUGAACUUGUGCCUAAGUUUGAAGGAGUUAUAAGAUAUUACUAGGUAUGUUUCUCAGAUCCAGAAAAGGUCCCAUUUUUGUUCUAGUCAUAAUUAGGAAACUUGGUUGUUAAUCAAGUUUGUAAAAACCCAGAGAUGAAAUAUGCCUCAUUAUUCAGCCUCUCAUUCCCCUUCAGAGCAUUCAGUCCUUACCCUCUUCUGUCUGUAAAAUUAAUAGCCUUUUGUAGGGACUCUUCUUUUGUAGGGACUCUUAUAAAUCUAAAAUUCUAUUGAUUUUCUUUACAAAAACAUAGUGAAUAUAAAAACCUAGAUGAAGAGGCAGCUGGGGGCAGUGAGUACAACCUCCAGGUUAUGGUCAGAAUCUUGCUCUGCUAUUGAAAAAUUAUUUGACCUUCAGUUUCAGUGUGAUUACUUUUAAAUGACAGUCUCAAGAUCUCUGAGUUUUACUUUUUGCCUAAGAACCACAAAAAUGAUAUAGGGACUUUGAUUCUCUUAGGCAAAAAAAAAAAAAAAAAAAAAGGGAGAUAUGUGAAUUCUGUGAAUUGGUAUUGCGUAACAUGGUUUCCAUCACUUGCUAUUAAUUUACUUUUUUUUUUUUUGGUCUUCUGUCUUUUUUAGGGCUGCACCCAUGACAUAUGGAGAUUGCCAGGCUAGGGGCUGAAUUGGAGCUGCAGCUGCUGGCCUAAACCACAGCCACAGCAACACUGGAUCCAAGUUGCUCUUGUGACCUACACCAGAGCUCACGGCAAUGCUGGAUCCUUAACCCACUGAGCGGGGCCAGGGGUCAAACACUCAUCCUCAUGGAUAGUAGCUGGGUUUGUUAACCACUGAGCCACAAUGGGAAUUCCUAAUUUGCUUUCUGAUAGCCCAUGUUUUUAAACAUUAGACAUUGUUUUCUUUUGUAUUGAGAUUUUGGGAUUAACAUUGCACACUACUAUAUAUGGAAUGAAUGGUCAAUAGGGACCUUCUCUUAAAUACAGGGCUACUCAAUAUUCUGUGAUAAUCUAUAUGGUAUAAGAAUCUGGAAAAAUGGAUAUGUGUUCAUGUAUAAUGGAAUCACUUUGUCGUACAGCAGAAAUUAAUACACCAGUGUAAAUCAACAAUACUUCAAUAAAAUUUUUAAAAAUUAAAAAUAUAUUGUUCUCAAUGUAUAAAAAUAUAACCAUAAUUCUUACUAAUAGUCAAGUAUUUCAUAUAUUUUACUUGCUUUCAUUGUUUUAUUCCUUUGAUUAUUUUAUUGAAGUAUAGUUGAUUUACAAUGUUGUCUUAAUUUUGCUGAACAGCAAAGUGAUUCAACUUUAUAUAUUAUUUUCCAUUAUACAGUUACAAGAUUUUUAAUAUCAUUCCUUGUGCUAUACAGUAGAAACUUGUUAUUGCUCCUUGGAUUUUUUUUUUUAAUUAUAGUUGAGGGAGUUCUCAUUGUGUCUCAGUAGUUAACAAACCCACUUGGAUCCAUGAGGAUGCAGGUUCAAUCCCUGGCCUUGCUCAGUGGUUAAAGGAUCCAGUGUUGCUGUGAGCUGUGAUGCAGGUUACAGAUGCUGCUCAGAUACCACAUUGCUGUGGCAUAGGCCGGCAGCUGUAGCUCUGAUUCGACCCCUAGCCUGGGAACUUCUAUAUGCAACAGGUGCAUGGAACCCUAAAAAA
rnacentral:lncRNA from 1 species